rnacentral:lncRNA from 1 species
GUGGAGGAUGUAAUUAUGCCGGUAGUUAUUUUUCUUUUGAGAGAUGGAAAGGUUUGUACAUUUAUCAGGGUGAAAUGCCAUAAGCCAAUCUGACUCCCAUCGAGCUGCUGAGUCAAGGUCGAGUUGUAGCUUAUGACAAUCAUCUUGUGUUUUUAUUUCCCUGUAAAUUAUGCUGUCAUCAGCAAAGAGUCUAAGUUUACUGUGUUCUAGAUAUUCCGGUAAGUCAUUU